GACGAACGCUGGCGGCGUGCCUAAUACAUGCAAGUUGAGCGAUGAAGAUUGGUGCUUGCACCAAUUUGAAGAGCAGCGAACGGGUGAGUAACGCGUGGGGAAUCUGCCUUUGAGCGGGGGACAACAUUUGGAAACGAAUGCUAAUACCGCAUAAUAACUUUAAACAUAAGUUUUAAGUUUGAAAGAUGCAAUUGCAUCACUCAAAGAUGAUCCCGCGUUGUAUUAGCUAGUUGGUGAGGUAAAGGCUCACCAGGGCGAUGAUACAUAGCCGACCUGAGAGGGUGAUCGGCCACAUUGGGACUGAGACACGGCCCAAACUCCUACGGGAGGCAGCAGUAGGGAAUCUUCGGCAAUGGACGAAAGUCUGACCGAGCAACGCCGCGUGAGUGAAGAAGGUUUUCGGAUCGUAAAACUCUGUUGGUAGAGAAGAACGUUGGUGAGAGUGGAAAGCUCAUCAAGUGACGGUAACUACCCAGAAAGGGACGGCUAACUACGUG
rnacentral:rRNA from 1 species